rnacentral:lncRNA from 1 species
GGGUAAGGCUUCCGCUACAGGCCUUUGCCGUCGCUGAUUCAGACAGAAUGUUAACGGAGUUCUGAUUCAUCAAAUCUCUAAACAGAAUUAAGGCAUGGACGGGCUCCUAACAACAUCACACUCUCUAUUCAUGAAAGAUAAAGGACGCAAAACUGCUAUUGACAAACAUUGAUCCUGGGCCCUUUGAAGCAUUGCCCAGGGUUGCUUGUUGGCUUCAAAAGUUUUCUUUUAAAUCUCAUUACAUCAGGUUUUCUGCUUUUUAAUUAUUUUUUUUUUCUCCUUUCCUUGGAGUCUUUCUUUGAUCAAGAGGGUGAAGAAACCGUGAUGCUCAUAUCCGGGGCCGGUCCUCCCUGUGUUCUGUAUUUAGCUACCCUGGUUCCAGGUAAGGUUCCAUAAAGCAACGUUACCUCUCAAGCGUGGGUUCUCAGGAACACGCUUAUUGAUUUCUUUAAUAAGCAUCAUCUUGAGCUCUUGUAAUCACCUGACUGCCCACAGUAAUCUGUGUGAGGGCUCCGGGAAUCCUCCGGCCCGGGGCCGGCAUCCGGGUUCUGAAACCUUGCCGCCAGCUGAGGCGGGCGCUCGCCCGGGGCUCCUGCUCACCCAUGUGCCGUAACCUAUUUGGCACACGCAGGACCGCUCAGUGGCUGCUUCCACCUUUGGGAGACAGGUUGCCAGCCGCGAAGGGCCCCAUGGGUACCAGCCCCGGAAAAGGCCAAAGUCAAUGCCUCAGCCACCAGAUGUCCUUGAAGGACAAACCGAGUCCUAUCGUUUUUACCUCCUAAAUAACUCCAAAUUUGUCUUCUUUUCUCCACUUAUUUUCUCUCCAUUUCAGGCAGCCAUCAACUCGCUCCUGGUCAAUAUCCACCUGACCUCUAUGACACAGGUACACACCAGUCCCUUUUUCUGGAAAGUUCUCUGAACCCAUCCCGGUGUUCCCCUAAUCUUCACUCCCACCCUAACUCAGUUCUUAACUCCAACCCUCAUCACUCUUGAGCAAGUUUACUUGGUUAACUCACCCAGUCAGUGCAUCUUUCUGGUCUCAGCACAGACAUGCCUUCUUCAGAAGGCCUCGUGUGUUUUUCCUUCAUAGCGCUAACCAAGGUCAUGACUGCGGGCCUGUAUUACUAUUUCACGAAUCUUCAUUGCCCACUGUUCCCACCAGACCGAAAGCUCCUAAGGCAGGCGUUCUGUUUUGCUGGCCAUUGGAUUCCUGGCAUAGAUGGAUACCUGGCACUUGCCUGACCCAUGGUAGGUGUUCGUAUAUCUUAGAUGAAUAACCGCUUUAUUAAAGUGACAGUUGGAUCCUUAUUUAUUUAUUUAUUUAUUUACUCAUUUAUUUAUAUUUUUUUAAUGUUUAUUUAUUUUUGAAAGACAGAGAAACAGACAGAGCAUGAGCAGGGGAGGGGCAGAGAGAGAGAGAGAGAGAGAGAACCCGAAGUAGGCUCCAGUCUCCGAGCUGUCAGCACAGCUGGAUCCCGACACGGGGCACGAACCCACGAACCCACGAACCGCGAGAUCAUGACCCGAGCUGAAGUCAGUCGCUUGUCCGACUGAGCCACCCAGGGCCCCCUAAAGUGACAGUUGGAUACUUUAUAAUCAGGAUACCUCCAAUAGCAUAACCAGCUCGAUGUGAGAAACUAAAGUAUUUGUAAAAUUUCAAACACGCUUCAACUUGUUCACGAAGUUAAUAUCCAUCGAAUGUGCACCAGUGAUCUGCCGUGAGCCAGGCAUUGGCAAAGCAGGGACGGGGCAGGCAGAGAGAACUUCGCUCUCAAGGGGCACACGUUGCGUAAGUUAAUUUUUGGUUAGUGAUAAGUGUGAAAAAGAAUGAAACAGGUGAUGGACCAGAAAUCCUUGUGGGUGGGGGAUGUUUGCUGGGUGGGUCACCCGUGUGGCACUGAGGCCACUGCUGAUGGUUCUCUGACCACAGAGCAAGGGCCAAAGAGGCAGAGCACGGGGGGGGUCUGCUGUUUUCCACGUUUAAACUGCAGACCUCACGGCACCUGCACAGUUGGUUGUAAGUAGAAAUAGACAUUUUUAGGCAAGUCAAAUCACCGAAUCACUGAAGUGAUGCAGGCGUCUCUUUUCCCCUCCACAGCCUUGUGUGAACUCGUGACCCUCUGAUCUUGUGGAGUCUCAGAAAACCAGAAGCUUCUUUUCCUGGGUCAACAGGAAGUGACCUCAGCACGCUUGUAGUUCAUCUUUUUAAUACGGAUUAAUUUCCCUGACGUGUAGUCUCCCCUUUAUCUCAAGCAAAAAUUGAGCAAUUUUGCUCUCCGUGUAAUCACUGCAGGCCUCCCACAUAUUGUCUAUUUCCCCAAGGCUCUGUUAUCACAACAGUGUGGAAUUGAAUAAAUUUCGGCACAUGGCCCUAAAGGAGAGAAUUCUCUAAAAAAAUGUGUAGUCCUUUGAAUUGAGGAAGACAAAAGGGUUAGCUUAUCGUGUAAUAUGUCUUUAUCUGGGGAGUUGGAACGGACCUCCCUGGGAUCUCUGUUUUUUUUGGUUUUUUUUUGUUUUUAAAUUCAAACACAGAGCCUUUAGUCCUCAUUCCCAUGUGGGUGUCUGAUGCUAUCGGGUCAAUCUAUUCUGUCCAAGUUCUGGGUGACAUUUUCUCAGGAGUUGGGUUCCAUCCCACUGGAGAGAGCCCCUAUCCUGCCUUGAGGGGGGGUGCCUUGGGACUCUGGUUCUCUGUGGGCUGAUUCUGCCACCCUAAGAAAAGACUUCCUCACGGUGACCUUGCCAGAGACCCACUCUUUGACGUACUGGUUAGGGAUUGUUUUUAUACAGCAACCAGCGGGUCUGAACCAACCUGUUCUGUGUUUAUUUGUAUUUACGUAACAACAGUCUUCUUCUUCCCGCUGGGCCUUCAGCAUGGGGUGGGGGGGUGUAGAAUGGGGGGGCGGGGGGCAGCCUAGAGGAGUACCUGUGAACAGCAGCUGGGACUCAAAACAGACCUGGGAGAGCCCCCACUCUGCCCACAUAUCCCCGCUGUGGGGCUUUGAGCCAGUCAUUUACGCUCUCCGGGCCUCAGUUUCCUCAUCUGUAAAGAGGGGAAAAUAUAGUUGCCCCUUCAUGGCAUUACUGAGAGGUGCACAUGAGAGCACAGAGGGAAGAUGCUUACUUAACUCAGUGGCCCCCAUAGAGUAGAUUUGCAGAGCAUGCUGGCUUUGAUAUCACUAACGUCUUUUUGUGGGAUGAAACUUGCUGAGCCCCCCAGACCCUCUGAGAUGAAAGGGCCCCGUGUUCAGUGAGUCUAGUCCCCAGCCCAGGGAAGGAAUGAACCCCUUCACGGAGGGGACCUUUGUCUCACGUGUUCCUUCUCGGACAGGGGUCAGCAACCUUUCCCGAAAGGACCAGAUAACGGAUAUGUUAGUUUUUUUCUGGCCGUGCAUUUCUGUCGUGACUGCUGGGUCCUGCCGCCGCGUCACCGAAGCAGCCACAGAGAAUGUUUAUGCCAGUGAGCGGGGCUGUGUUCCAAUAAAACAGUAUUUACAACACCGAUCCCGGAGAAAGUGACGGGACACAGCCAGAGCAUUGCACAACUUGAAGGGGCCCCUAUGGAGACACGUCGGAAGCCAGUGGAGGGGCCUGGGCUGAUGUGACACCACUGCCCUCAGAAAGUGUGCCCCCUGCUCCAGAAUCAUCAGAACUCUGUGGGGCAUGGGGACUAAGGACGUUUGCUCAUUUAUUCAUUCUGCAGGUAUUUAUUGGGCGCCUACAGCAUGCCUGUGCUGUAUGGGACAAAGAAGAUGGGUCAGGUGCCAGCCUCAUGAAGUUACAUUCUCAUGAUGAGCUUCACUCAGAUUCACGUGACUGGGCUUCCAUUAAAUUCAGAAAGGCUUCCCAGGGCGCCUGGGUGGCUCAGUCAGUUGAGCGUAUGACUUGGUUUUGGCUCAGGUCACGAUCUCCCGGUUUAGUGAGUUCGAGCCCCACGUCUGGCUCUGUGCUGGCCGUGUGGAGCCUGCUUGGGAUUCUCUCUCUCU